rnacentral:lncRNA from 1 species
ACAAUUAUUUUUUUGGGAAAACUUCAAAAAACCCCUGUAGUUUCGCACUUUUUUAUUUUACUACCCUAUGGUUUAAAGUGUAUCAAAUUAGCACCUGUGGUUUUUCACUUUAUCACUUUAGUACCCUACGGUUUAAAGUGUAUCGAGUUAGUACUUUGUGGUUUUAUUUUUAUAUCAAAUUAAUAUCCUGUGGUUUUAUUUUUGUAUCAAGUUAAUAUUCUGUGGUUUUUAAACCACAGGGUACUAAAGUGAUAAAGUGCGAAACAACACGAUACUAACUUAAUACACUUUAAACCACCGGGUACUAAACUGAAAAAGUGCAAAACUAUAUGGUACUAACUUGAUACACUUUAAAGCACAGAAUACUAAAGUGAGAAAAAUUAAAACCACAAGGGGGUAUUUGAAGUUUUACU